UACACAUAUUUCACCAAAAUUAAUCAGACCUAAAUCACAAAUCACUCUCUUCUCUAGUAUCUCUUUAGUCUUUUCUCACCGGCCUUCCCGAGCACGUGACCUUUACGGUCCACCGGACCGCCCCGAUCACCACCGCGCACACAACCUCCACCUCCCCCGUCAGCCAGUCCCGCCGCACCGAGACUGGCCGCGCCGCCUCUAGUGUGAAAGACAGUCUUUCCUUCCUUCCUCACCGCCCGCCAUGCCUUCCGCUCCUUCAAAGCUCUACGCAGAUGAUGUUAGCCUUCUCGUCGUCACGCUUGACACCAACCCUUUCUUCUGGAGCACUUUCUCCUCCCCGUUCUCCGAUUUCCUCUCUCAGGUGCUCGCUUUUCUCAACUCGAUCCUCCUCCUCGGUCAGCUUAACCAGGUCGUCGUCAUCGCCACCGGGUGCAAUUCUUGCGGCUACGUUUACGAUUCCGCUUCCGAUAAGAACCAUGCUUCCACAACCGGCACCAUGCCGGCGCUAUAUUCCAAUCUGCUCCGCAACCUUGAACAGUUUGUUGCUAGGGACCAGCAAUUAGCCGCGGCGAAUCAUGCACCGGGAACCGUUCCGUCUUCACUGUUAUCAGGGUCAUUGUCCAUGGCUCUCUGUUAUAUACAGAGAGCUUUUCGUUCAGGGCCGAUGCAUCCUCAACCUCGGAUUCUAUGUUUGCACGGAUCUGCUGAUGGACCAGAGCAGUAUGUGGCAAUCAUGAAUGCAAUAUUUUCUGCGCAACAUUCUACAGUUCCUAUAGAUUCUUGUUAUAUUGGUUCAAACAAUUCAGCGUUCCUUCAGCAGGCUUCAUACAUUACCGGUGGCAUAUAUUACAGGCCUCCCCAACUGGAUGGGCUUUUUCAAUAUCUUUCAACAGUUUUUGCAACUGAUUUGCACUCUCGUGCCUUUUUACGGCUUCCUAAGUCUGUAGGUGUGGACUUUCGUGCCUCGUGCUUCUGCCAUAAGCAAACAAUUGACAUGGGUUAUGUAUGUUCUGUAUGCUUAUCCAUAUUCUGCGAGCAUCACGAUAAGUGUUCAACCUGUGGUUUGCAGAUUGUAGGAACCGGGUCAAAUUGUUAGGACCCCAUUGCAAGGUAUGGGACUUGAGUCCCACAUUGGAAGUAUGGGAUUCUAAUGUGGGGUUUAUAAGGCCUUGGGCUCUCCAACUACAACAGCUAGCUUUUGUGGUGUGGUUCUCCCAAGGUUCUUAUCAAUGGUAUCAGAGCCUUCCACCAUGUCUCUGAGCUGCAAACGAGCGGCGCGGGUGGUGACGCCGGCAUUGCAGUGUUCGCCCGGGACUAGUCGUGGGGCUAGUGCACAGCCAGCCCGCGCCGGGGCUGCGGAGCGUGGUGGGAUGUUAGGACCCCAUUGCAAGGUCUGUAUUUGGCCAGGCUCAAUCUGAUGCUGCCUCAGCAGCCAGUCGUAAAAGAAAGGCUUGACCACAGAUCUUGUAUCGGUGCGCUUCACAUUAAUUUUGCUAAGUCCUUCAAGAGAGUUAAUCUGUUUAGGCUCUCAUACUUGUAGCUUAAUGAAAUUUUGGCAGCAAAUUGCUUUUCUGCCUGUUUGGAUGGGGGAAACUGGAGUUUAUCCUUGUAGAUCUAUAAAAGUCAGCAUCGACCUGGAUAAUUAAGAGCCUUGGCAGCUGCAAGAUCUUUUUGUGUAGGAGCUGCAUAAAAGGCUUUUAUUAUCUGAAAGGUUUUUUCCUUUAGAAGGCUAUGAUUUUCAUUAUGUUCAAAUAGUUAAAUAGCUUUUUUCUCUAAUAGAAUCUGUCCCUUUAUGAUGACGAA